GUGACGAUAGCCUAGGAGAUACACCUGUACCCAUGCCGAACACAGAAGUUAAGCCCUAGAACGCCGGAAGUAGUUGGGGGUUGCCCCCUGUGAGAGUAGGGAAGUCG
rnacentral:rRNA from 1 species